ACAUUCCCCACAUCGAGUUUUAAAUUCUCAAACGGUUGCAAUUACUAUAACCCGCCGGUAAUUUCUCCUCCUCCUCUGUUUUGCUUCAUUGUUACUUGUAAUGAAAUUAAUAAUAAUAAUGAUAAUAAUUAAAUUUUGAAUUAAAUUUCUAUAUUUUGCCAAUGUCUCAUAGGAAUGUGCAAUAUUUUCUAAUAUUUUGAUUUUUGUAUUGAAUAUAACUAUUUACUUCAGUGUACGAUAAUUUGUUACGUGAAACUUCUUGAGAGACUGAAUUUCUGGGGUACUUUGUAGUAAUGUUGAAAACUAAGUGAUGGCUAGGUCUGCUCUGUUUCAGUUGAGGAUGGAUGGCUGCCUGGAAGACAUGAUGAUUAUUAUUGCAUGAUAUUAAGGUGCUGAGAUCAUCAUUUCUAUCUUGUUUCUUUCUUUGAUCGGUUUAUCUUCUAUAAGCAUAUGGAAUUAUGCUAGUAAUAUCACUUCUUCACCCAAUUUUCACUGUUGGUUGUAAUAACCAUUUCAGGUUCUCAAAAGCUACAAAGCAAAGCAUCUUUGGGCUGAUCAUAUAUUUCAAUUGACGAAGCAAUUCGAUGUUGGCACUAUUAUGCAGUUAACCAGAGUUGAUAAUUUGCACAAAUUU
rnacentral:lncRNA from 1 species